UACAGAGGUGCCAAGCGUUGUUCGGAUUUAUUGGGCGUAAAGGGUGCGUAGGCGGUUAUGUAAGUCGGGUGUGAAAUUUCGGAGCCUAACUCCGAAACUGCAUUCGAAACUGCAUAGCUCGAGGUCUGGAGAGGUAAUUGGAAUUCUAGGUGUAGCAGUGAAAUGCGUAGAUAUCUAGAGGAACAUCGGUGGCGAAGGCGGCCAACUGGACGAGUACUGACGCUGAGACACGAAAGCGUGGGGAGCAAACAGG
rnacentral:rRNA from 1 species